ACGUCCUGCUCGUGAUCGUCUUCUCACCCUUCACGGAGCAGGCGGUACAAGGGAAGGCUCCCGCAGGCCCGAUGCCUGCGGGAGCCUUCC
rfam:Streptomyces bungoensis strain DSM 41781 genomic scaffold PRJNA299233_s001, whole genome shotgun sequence.